rnacentral:rRNA from 1 species
AGCGAACGCUGGCGGCAGGCUUAACACAUGCAAGUCGAGCGGGCAUCCUUGUGGUGUCCGCGGCAGACGGGUGAGUAACGCGUGGGAACGUGCCCUUCGGUUCGGAAUAACUCAGGGAAACUUGAGCUAAUACCGGAUACGCCCUUUUGGGGAAAGGUUUACUGCCGAAGGAUCGGCCCGCGUCUGAUUAGCUAGUUGGUGAGGUUAUGGCUCACCAAGGCGACGAUCAGUAGCUGGUCUGAGAGGAUGAUCAGCCACACUGGGACUGAGACACGGCCCAGACUCCUACGGGAGGCAGCAGUGGGGAAUAUUGGACAAUGCGGGCAACCCUGAUCCAGCCAUGCCGCGUGAGUGAUGACGGCCUUAGGGUUGUAAAGCUCUUUUCUCCGGGACGAUAAUGACGGUACCGGAGGAAUAAGCCCCGGCUAACUUCGUG